UGUAUCCUACGGGGCGCAGCAGUGAGGAAUAUUGGUCAAUGGGCGAGAGCCUGAACCAGCCAAGUCGCGUGAAGGAUGAAGGAUCUAUGGUUUGUAAACUUCUUUUAUAUGGGAAUAAAGUGAGGAACGUGUUCCUUUUUGUAUGUACCAUAUGAAUAAGCAUCGGCUAACUCCGUGCCAGCAGCCGCGGUAAUACGGAGGAUGCGAGCGUUAUCCGGAUUUAUUGGGUUUAAAGGGUGCGUAGGUGGUUAAUUAAGUCAGCGGUGAAAGUUUGUGGCUCAACCAUAAGAUUGCAAUUGAUACUG
rnacentral:rRNA from 1 species